rnacentral:rRNA from 1 species
AACGGAAAGGCCCUGCUUGCAGGGUACUCGAGUGGCGAACGGGUGAGUAACACGUGGGUGAUCUGCCCUGCACUUCGGGAUAAGCUUGGGAAACUGGGUCUAAUACCGGAUAGGACCGCACUUUAGUGUGUGUGGUGGAAAGUUUUUUCGGUGUAGGAUGAGCUCGCGGCCUAUCAGCUUGUUGGUGGGGUAAUGGCCUACCAAGGCGGCGACGGGUAGCCGGCCUGAGAGGGUGUACGGCCACAUUGGGACUGAGAUACGGCCCAGACUCCUACGGGAGGCAGCAGUGGGGAAUAUUGCACAAUGGGCGCAAGCCUGAUGCAGCGACGCCGCGUGGGGGAUGAAGGCCUUCGGGUUGUAAACUCCUUUCGCUAGGGACGAAGCUUUUUGUGACGGUAGCCUAGAUAAGAAGCACCGGCUAACUACGUGCCAGCAGCCGCGGUAAUACGUAGGGUGCGAGCGUUGUCCGGAAUUACUGGGCGUAAAGGGCUCGUAGGUGGUUUGUCGCGUCGUCUGUGAAAUUCUGGGGCUUAACUCCGGGCGUGCAGGCGAUACGGGCAUAACUUGAGUGCUGUAGGGGUAACUGGAAUUCCUGGUGUAGCGGUGAAAUGCGCAGAUAUCAGGAGGAACACCGAUGGCGAAGGCAGGUUACUGGGCAGUUACUGACGCUGAGGAGCGAAAGCAUGGG